GAUGAACGCUGGCGGCGUGCCUAAUACAUGCAAGUCGAACGCUGGAGCUCUAGCUUGCUAGCUCGAAGGAGUGGCGAACGGGUGAGUAAUACAUAAGCAACCUACCCACGAAGACUGGGAUAAUCUCUGGAAACGGGGACUAAUACCGGAUAGGUAAUCGGAAGGCAUCUUCUGGUUAUUAAAGGUUAAAAACACUGGUGGAUGGGCUUAUGGCGCAUUAGUUAGUUGGUGAGGUAACGGCCCACCAAGACGAUGAUGCGUAGCCGGCCUGAGAGGGUGAACGGCCACAUUGGGACUGAGACACGGCCCAGACUCCUACGGGAGGCAGCAGUAGGGAAUUUUCGGCAAUGGGGGCAACCCUGACCGAGCAACGCCGCGUGAGUGAAGACGGCCUUCGGGGUGUAAAGCUCUGUUGUAAGGGAAGAACGGUAGAUAGAGAAUAUCUAAGUGACGGUACCUUACCAGAAAGCCACGGCUAACUACGUG
rnacentral:rRNA from 1 species